rnacentral:rRNA from 1 species
CUACGGGGGGGGCGAGCGUUGUCCGGAAUUAUUGGGCGUAAAGGGCGCGUAGGCGGAAUAGUAAGUCAGAAGUGAAAAUCAUGGGCUUAACUCAUGACCUGCUUUUGAUACUGCUAUUCUCGAGUGCGUGAGAGGAAAGCGGAAUUCCCGGUGUAGCGGUGAAAUGCGUAGAUAUCGGGAAGAACACCGGUAGCGAAGGCGGCUUUCUGGCUCGCAACUGACGCUGAGGCGCGAAAGCGUGGGGAGCAAACAGGAUUAGAAACCCUAGUAGUCC